rnacentral:rRNA from 1 species
CCUACGGGUGGCAGCAGUGAGGAAUAUUGGUCAAUGGCCGGAAGGCUGAACCAGCCAUGCCGCGUGAAGGUCAGUGCCCUAUGGGCGUUAAACUUCUUUUGUGCGGGAGCAAUAAUGGUCACGUGUGGCCAGACGAGAGUACCGUACGAAUAAGCAUCGGCUAACUCCGUGCCAGCAGCCGCGGUAAUACGGGGGAUGCAAGCGUUAUCCGGAUUUAUUGGGGUUAAAGGGUGCGUAGGCUGUGAGGUAAGUCAGUGGUGAAAUGCCACCGCGCAACGGGGUGAAGUGCCAUUGAUACUGCCUUGCUGGAAUGCGGAUGCCGUGGGAGGAAUGUGUGGUGUAGCGGUGAAAUGCAUAGAUAUCACACAGAACACCGAUUGCGAAGGCAUCUCACGAAUCCGCGAUUGACGCUGAUGCACGAAAGCGUGGGUAUCAAACAGGAUUAGAUACCCCAGUAGUC